rnacentral:rRNA from 1 species
UGAGGAAUAUUGGUCAAUGGCCGAGAGCCUGAACCAGCCAAGUAGCGUGAAGGAUGACGGCCCUACGGGUUGUAAACUUCUUUUGUGCGGGAAUAAAGGAGCCUACGUGUAGGCUUUUGCAUGUACCGUAACGAAUAAGCAUCGGCUAACUCCGUGCCAGCAGCCGCGGUAAUACGGAGGAUGCGAGCGUUAUCCGGAUUUAUUGGGUUUAAAGGGAGCGUAGACGGGUUUUUAAGUCAGCUGUGAAAGUUUGGGGCUCAACCUUAAAAUUGCAGUUGAAACUGGAGACCUUGAGUACGGUUGAGGCAGGCGGAAUUCGUGGUGUAGCGGUGAAAUGCUUAGAUAUCACAAAGAACCCCGAUUGCGAAGGCAGCCUGCUAAGCCGCCACUGACCGUUGAGGCUCCAAAGUGCGGGUAUCAAACAGGAUUAGAUACCCUGGUAGUCCGCACGGUAAACGAUGGAUACUCGCUGUUGGCGAUAGACGGUCAGCGGCCAAGCGAAAGCGUUAAGUAUCCCACCUGGGGAGUACGCCGGCAACGGUGAAACUCAAAGGAAUUGACGGGGGCCCGCACAAGCGGAGGAACAUGUGGUUUAAUUCGAUGAUACGCGAGGAACCUUACCCGGGCUUGAACUGCAGUGGAAUUAUCCGGAAACGGAUAAGCGAGCAAUCGCCGCUGUGGAGGUGCUGCAUGGUUGUCGUCAGCUCGUGCCGUGAGGUGUCGGCUUAAGUGCCAUAACGAGCGCAACCCUUGCUGCCAGUUACUAACAGGUCAUGCUGAGGACUCUGGCAGGACUGCCAUCGUAAGAUGCGAGGAAGGUGGGGAUGACGUCAAAUCAGCACGGCCCUUACGUCCGGGGCUACACACGUGUUACAAUGGGGAGUACAGAGGGCAGCUACCGGGCGACCGGAUGCGAAUCCCGAAAGCUCCUCUCAGUUCGGACUGGAGUCUGCAACCCGACUCCACGAAGCUGGAUUCGCUAGUAAUCGCGCAUCAGCCACGGCGCGGUGAAUACGUUCCC